UCCCUUUCCCUUAGUGGCCCCUGGAAACCCACCACCACCCCGCCCUCGAUUUCCUUAAGGGGCUGCACUCUCUUGGUAAUGGCCAGCGUGUUAGAUGGCCUGCCCCGUCAUCAGAAGGGCUUGAAGAGUAGCUAGAAAAAAAAUUAAAAGUUGCUCACUGAAAAGGACAACUAGGAAAACCCUCAAUGGCAUUCUUUCAUAUUAUGGUUUAAAAGAGCAUUUCCUAAAAUACACAGAGAAGAACGUAUUAAGUGAGGAAUCAUGAAGAAAGACGUCUUCGGUGGCCAAAUUGAUUUGAGAAACUGCAUUUUGUGAAUUAAUAAGAAUAAGAAACAGUUAUACUGGUCUCUGCCUAUUCCCUUUGCUGACACAGAGCUUCCAAAAUAAAUAGGGGUGCUAGGAGAAACUUUUGUUCUAAUAAUUUCUGACAGAGAUCCUAAAAUUUGCAACCUCCUGAGAAGUAGGAGCAUCUGACAUCAAGUUCCUAAAUACGUUGGAAUUUCCCUGUACAGAGGAAUGUCCUUUGUUUUAAGGAGUCGACUGGGGUGGGACCCUGGAUGGCACUGGAUACUAGAAAAACCAAACAAUAAUAAGGCUUAAAACUUUCAGCCCCACACCCUAUUCUCUGGAGGGGAACUGGAAGAAGAGUUGAUAAUUGAUCGUACCUAUGUGAUGAUACCUCCAUAACAAUGACAAGGAAUUUUACCGUUGGUGAAUACAUUCAUGUACCAAGAGGGUGACACGCUCCAACUUCACAGAUAGAAAAAUUCCUGUGCUGGGACCUUUCCAGACCUCUUCAUGUGACUGGUCAAAUGUAUCCUUUACCAUAUUCUUUAUUACUUAAUGAACUGGAACUAAUAUUAUGCAGAACAUUUUCUGUAAAAUGCCAGUCUCAAGAUUUUCCAAAUUCACAACUUACUAAAGUUUGUAACUGCAUCACAUCCCUUUGGAGGUGUGAUUUCUCAGUAAUUAUUAUUGGACAUUACUGCUCCGUGAGAAGGUAAAAAUAAAUAAUGAAAUAGGAAACCAUAUCAGGAAACAAGAUGUUAUGGAUAACUGUCCUACUUGAUCAUUCAAUCCUUCAAAACUCCAACAAUAUGAUAAAUUUCCAUAUUAUGAGUCCCAUCUCUCCAGCGAUACAUUCCAAAACACUUAACUCUCUAACCACCUUGCAGCUAGAGCUCAAGAACAUUGCCCAGGACUUACAAGACAGAAGAAUUCCUGUGAGUCUUUGAUACUAAAGCAAGAAAUGUAACAAAUCUGGCUAUUCUGUUUUGUUGUUGCUGUUUGUUCCCUUUGUUGUUUUCCUCUAACACAUAUCAAGAUGUGCCCAGAUUUUAAUUAAUACUUGCUGUGAAGUAAGGUUUCUAGCAUUUUAGAUGUGAACAGUAGAAGUGGUGGUAGUGACUUCUUAAUCAAGAGGAUCUGUGAUAUGGUUCUGUAUAUAAU